rnacentral:rRNA from 1 species
AUACGGAGGGUGCAAGCGUUAUCCGGAAUCAUUGGGUUUAAGGGGUCCGUAGGCGGGCUAAUAAGUCAGGGGUGAAAUCCCACAGCUUAACUGUGGAACUGCCCUUGAUACUGUUGGUCUUGAGUUACAGUGAAGUGGUUAGAAUGUGUAGUGUAGCGGUGAAAUGCAUAGAGAUUACACAGAAUACCGAUUGCGAAGGCAGAUCACUAACUGUAUACUGACGCUAAUGGACGAAAGCGUGGGGAGCGAACAGGAUUAGAAACCCCGGUAGUCC